rnacentral:tRNA from 1 species
GGUCGGUUGGCCGAGUGGUUAGGCAACGGUCUGCAAAACCGUGUACGGCGGUUCGAAUCCGCCAUCGACCU